GAUGGAACCACAAAUCUGAUCCAGUGAGGUGCCAUCUCGCAACUUGCAGGACUUAAAGGACUUGCUGCUAAUGUCUUGGUGCCAUUUACCACAGGACAUGUUUAGAGGAGUCCAUGCCCCAAUGCAUUAGAGCUGUUUUGGGCAGGUGGUUUUAAUGUUGUGGCUGAUCAGUAAACACGCAGAAAGACUGAUGGGUAAAUAAAUAAGCAGACAUAGAAAAAUAGACACAAAGAC